rnacentral:misc_RNA from 1 species
UUUCCGUAGGUGAACCUGCGGAAGGAUCAUUCACAAUAAGUGUUUAUGGCACUUUCAAAUCCAUACCCACCUUGUGUGCAUUGUAAGGGCCCUUUCUUUCAAAAGACUGGGCUUCAUUUUCUCACACACGUCUUCAAUUGCAAGUCUAACAUUCAGAGUAAUCAAAACUCGAAUACAACUUUCAACAACGGAUCUCUUGGCUCUC